AGAACACCAGGACCUUCUUCAAGGGUGAAGACAAUGCUUGUCUUAUAGGGUCUGUCAGUUCCUGGAAUUAUAGGUUCUCUUGCGAGUAUCAAAAAGCGGGUUAUGUUAUCGUCAUCAUCCUGGAUUUUUUCUGCAAGAAUGUUAAGACCAUAGAUUUCUGCUGCUCGAGCACUUGCAAUGGCACCAGUUUCUCUGAUGCCACAAAUAGAUACCAUCUGAGCAGCACCAGCUGUAUCAUCAGUGCUAACUUUUACAACACCUAACUCGCUCAAUAUCAUCUCACAGUGGGAAAGGGCCUG
rnacentral:misc_RNA from 1 species